rnacentral:misc_RNA from 1 species
CACGGAUUCCGGCGCGCCCGG